AGAGUUUGAUCCUGGCUCAGGAUGAACGCUAGCGGCAGGCCUAAUACAUGCAAGUCGAACGGGCUGGAGUAGCAAUACUCCAGUUAGUGGCGCACGGGUGCGUAACGCGUAUGCAACCUACCUUUUAUUGGGGGAUAGCCCGAAGAAAUUCGGAUUAAUACCGCAUAACACUAUUUGAUGGCAUCUGAAGAUAGUUAAAGCUACGGCGAUAAAAGAUGGGCAUGCGUGACAUUAGCUAGUUGGUGAGGUAACGGCUCACCAAGGCGACGAUGUCUAGGGGUUCUGAGAGGAUGAUCCCCCACAAUGGUACUGAGAUACGGACCAGACUCCUACGGGAGGCAGCAGUAGGGAAUAUUGGGCAAUGGAGGCAACUCUGACCCAGCCAUGCCGCGUGCAGGAUGAAGGCCUUCUGGGUUGCUUCUCUUUUACCAGGGAAGAAACGACCUUGCGAAGGGAAUGACGGUACCUG
rnacentral:rRNA from 1 species